GACAGAGGGUGCGAACGUUGCUCGGAAUUACUGGGCGUAAAGCGCGUGUAGGUGGACAUGUAAGUCAGAUGUGAAAUCCCCGGGCUCAACCUGGGAACUGCAUUUGAAACUACAUGUCUAGAGUAGCGGAGAGGGAAGCGGAAUUCUUGGUGUAGAGGUGAAAUUCGUAGAUAUCAAGAGGAACACCAGUGGCGAAGGCGGCUUCCUGGACGCUUACUGACACUGAGACGCGAAAGCGUGGGUAGCGAAC
rnacentral:rRNA from 1 species